GGGAACGGGGAACGGGAAUGGGAACCGGGAAUGGGAACCGGGAAUGGGAACGGGAACCGGGAAUGGGAACGGGCCAGAGAACGGAAAUGGGACAGGGCCGGGAACGGGACCCGAACCGGGAACAGGGCAGGGAACGGGGCCUGCACCGGGGCCCCAGCCCAGGCCCCCAUCCCGGUCCAGACCCCAAGGCCCACCCCAGACCCCCCGGUCUGGCACCAAAUCCAGCCCCGGAGCCCCGGGCCGGCCCCUCCCGGUGCCUUCACCCCGUUCUGCCGGGCGACCCCUCGGGCAGGAGCUGCAGGAGCCCCCUAAAGCCCCUCGGGAGCAGAAACCUUCAUCAUCACCAUCAUCAUCAUCAUCCCCCGGAGCCUCCCGGGACAGGGAACAGCAGCAUUCACAGAGGAUUUCCAGCCACCACAGGACGCUCGCAGGGAGGUCAGGGCUGCCCGGGAUGGGAUGAUCUGCCCCGGGUGCAGGAGAACUGCCCGUGCCACCUUCCAGCCUCUGCAGCCUUUCCCUGGAAGCUUUCCUCCUGCCACAGAGGCCAGAGCUGUGAUUCCCGUCGGGACACGGAGCACCCAAGGCUCUCCAGCAGAGCUGUGGGGUCCGGCUGCUCUGCCAGGGGGUUGGGAAUAAAAAUAAACAGUCUUGGUCCUUUCCUGCGUGUGGCACAGAGGCAACGCAGAGCCACGGUGGCCUCGGAUUUGGGGACGGACAAAUCCCGUUCCCAAAGCUCGGCACAAACUUGCAGCUCCUGCUUUUUACCGACACUCCUCUCUUUCGCCCAAGGCUUCUCCCUGCUGUGUGUCCUUCCCUGCCUUGUCCCUCUUGUCAGGCUGAGUGUGGCCAGGGAUGCUCUGUUCCGGGACAGAACAGCGCUGACACACCCAAGCCCAGCAGAUGGGUGACCCCUGCCCGCCCCCGAGGGGGCACCUCUGGGGUCCUCCCACCUGGAGGGGCCACUGGAGCAGAAAAUGUCACUGGAGUCUCCUGUCGAGGUGGCCUCUCCCCCCUCAAGCCAAAGCAACUCCCCUUGAGCACUCUGAUGGAAAAGGAACCACAGAAGCCUCCGAAAUAGAGGAAGCUGAGUAAAUCCAACACUUGAGAGCAAAGCCAGGGCUGGUGCUUUCCGUUUCUGCUUUCCUCUUUUAGGACAAAGAGGAAUGGGUACAAACUGAAACGGAGGAAGUUAGAUUGGGUAAGAGGAAGAAAUCCUUCCCUGGGAGGGUGGCAGGCCCUGGCACAGGGGGCCUGGAGAAGCUGUGCCUGCCCCCAGGUGUGUCCAAGGCUGGAUGGGGCUUGGAGCAGCCAAGGGAAAUUGUCCCUGUGCAUGGCAGGGCUUGGAGCAGCCAAGGGAAAUUGUCCCUGUGCAUGGCAGGGCUUGGAGCAGCCAAGGGAAGGUGUCCCUGUGCAUGGCAGGGCUUGGAGCAGCCAAGGGAAGGUGUCCCUGUGCAUGGCAGGGCUUGGAAUGAGAUGGACUUUAAGGUCUCUUCCAACCCUUAACGUUCUGAGAUUCUGUUUUGGCACUUGGGAUGGAAGAUGCACACAAAGGUUGUGUUUCACUGAACGCUUUCUGUUCGACAAAGAAAAGAAUCCCUGGCAUUGAUUUGCUCCAGGCCAACAUAAAUAUCAGAGAUUGUGAAAAAGCCACGAAUGAGGGCCAAUGUUCACAUCAGCUAAUGUGGUCCUGGCACAUUUGUGGGAUUAGGCAAUGGAUUUGCUCUUCCUGCUCAUGGCUGGGAGGCUGCUGAGCAGGAUAUCACCAGGGAGCAGCUCCUUGGCAGAGCCACAGCGCAGGGACAGCCUCGGCAGGACGUGUGUGCCACCUCCCGCCCGGGCAAGGGCUGCUUCACACACUUCACUCCCCCAUAAAACAAGUGCAGGAAGGCAAACCCGGCUGCUGCAGCUCGGGAAGAACACAGCUUUCCCUAGGCUGGAUUUAAAAAAAAAAAAAUAAAAUAAUUAAAAGCAAAAUCA
ensembl:lncRNA